GGAACUGCCUGCCAUAUUCUGAUAGUUCCAUCCUCUGAUCCUGAUGCAUAAGACUCUCCACCAGGGGCAAAACGAACACAGUGGACGGGACCAUGGUGGCCUUUGUUACAAGCAAUUUCUUCACCGGUGUGGAAAUCAAAAGAGCGAAUCCACAUGUCUUCUCCACCAGCAAUGAAUUUGUUGCCAUACUUGGGUUCGAGAGAAGCAGACUCCACA
rnacentral:misc_RNA from 1 species